rnacentral:rRNA from 1 species
GCCAGACUCCUACGGGAGGCAGCAGUGGGGAAUAUUGGGCAAUGGGCGCAAGCCUGACCCAGCAACGCCGCGUGAAGGAAGAAGGCUUUCGGGUUGUAAACUUCUUUUGUCAGGGACGAAGCAAGUGACGGUACCUGACGAAUAAGCCACGGCUAACUACGUGCCAGCAGCCGCGGUAAUACGUAGGUGGCAAGCGUUAUCCGGAUUUAUUGGGUGUAAAGGGCGUGUAGGCGGGAAUGUAAGUCAGAUGUGAAAACUAUGGGCUCAACCCAUAGCCUGCAUUUGAAGCUGUAUUUCUUGAGUGCUGGAGAGGCAAUCGGAAUUCCGUGUGUAGCGGUGAAAUGCGUAGAUAUAAGGAAGAACACCAGUGGCGAAGGCGGAUGACUGGACGGCAACUGACGGUGAGGCGCGAAAGCGUGGGGAGCAAACAGGAUUAGAUACCCGAGUACCG